rnacentral:rRNA from 1 species
UACGGAGGGGACUAGCGUUGUUCGGAAUUAUCGUGGGCGUAAAGCGCACGUAGGCGGAAUUUGUAAGUCAGGGGGUGAAACUCCCGGGGCUCAACCUCGGAACUGCCUUUGAUACUGCAAAUCUCGAGUCCGAAUAGAGGUGGGUGGAAUUCCUAGUGUAGAGGUGAAAUUCGUAGAUAUUAGGAAGAACACCGGGUGGCGAAGGCGGCCCACUGGAUCGGUACUGACGCUGAGG